GCCUUCGCGGUGUAGUAGUCAGCACCCUGGGCUCGUAUUCCAGAGGUCCGUGGUUCGAGUCCCGGCGAAGCCA
rfam:Stegodyphus mimosarum contig59602, whole genome shotgun sequence.